rnacentral:rRNA from 1 species
GUUUGGAUUAUUGCUCAUGACGAACGCUGGCGGUAUGCUUAACACAUGCAAGUCGAACGAGAAGCUGUCUAAUGAACCUUCGGGCGAUUUAGAGAGUGGAUAGUGGCGAACGGGUGAGUAACGCGUGGGCAACCUGCCUUUCGGAGCGGAAUAGCCUCGGGAAACCGGGAGUAAAGCCGCAUAACAUUAUUUUUUCGCAUGAAGAGAUAAUCAAAACUCCGGUGCCGAAAGAUGGGCCCGCGUCCUAUUAGCUGGUUGGUGAGGCAACGGCUCACCAAGGCGACGAUAGGUAGCCGGUCUGAGAGGGCGAACGGCCACACUGGAACUGAGACACGGUCCAGACUCCUACGGGAGGCAGCAGUGGGGAAUAUUGCGCAAUGGGGGCAACCCUGACGCAGCAAUACCGCGUGAGUGAAGAAGGUUUUCGGAUCGUAAAGCUCUGUUAUUGGGGAAGAAGAAGUGACGGUACCCAAUGAGGAAGUCCCGGCUAAUUACGUGCCAGCAGCCGCGGUAAUACGUAAGGGACGAGCGUUGUCCGGAAUCACUGGGCGUAAAGGGCGCGUAGGCGGUUUUAUAAGUCAGAUGUGAAAGGUACCGGCUCAACCGGUGACGUGCAUUUGAAACUGUAAGACUUGAGUACUGAAGAGGCAAGCGGAAUUCCUAGUGUAGCGGUGAAAUGCGUAGAUAUUAGGAAGAACACCGGUGGCGAAGGCGGCUUGCUGGGCAGAUACUGACGCUGAGGUGCGAAAGCAUGGGGAGCGAACAGGAUUAGAUACCCUGGUAGUCCAUGCCGUAAACGAUGAAUACUAGGUGUUGGCAGUUAUGUCAGUGCCACAGUUAACACAAUAAGUAUUCCGCCUGGGGAGUACGACCGCAAGGUUGAAACUCAAAGGAAUUGACGGGGACCCGCACAAGCAGCGGAGCAUGUGGUUUAAUUCGAAGCAACGCGAAGAACCUUACCAGGCCUUGACAUCCUCUGACCUCUUAGAGAUAAGACUUUCCCUUCGGGGACAGAGAGACAGGUGGUGCAUGGUUGUCGUCAGCUCGUGUCGUGAGAUGUUGGGUUAAGUCCCGCAACGAGCGCAACCCCUGUGAUUAGUUGCCAUCAUUCAGUUGGGCACUCUAAACAGACUGCCGUAGACAAUACGGAGGAAGGUGGGGACGACGUCAAAUCAUCAUGCCCCUUAUGGCCUGGGCUACACACGUGCUACAAUGGUCUGAACAGAGGGCAGCGAAACCGUGAGGCGGAGCGAAUCCCACAAAACAGAUCUCAGUUCGGAUUGUAGCUGCAACCCGCCUACAUGAAGAUGGAGUUGCUAGUAUCGCGGAUCAAAUGCCGCGGUGAAUGCGUUCCCGGGUCUUGUACACACCGCCCGUCACACCACGAGAGUCGUACACCCGAAGCCAGUGUGACAACCGUAAGGAGUCAGCUGUCGAAGUGGGAUCGGUAUGGGGUGAAGUCGUAACGGUUACCGUUAAAU